CGAGUUGUAAUUUGAAGAAUGCAUACUUGGUGAGGCGCCUUGUCUAUGUUCCUUGGAACAGGACGUCGCAGAGGGUGAGAAUCCCGUAUGGCGAGGCAAGCUGAGCCGUGUAAGUUGUGUUCGACGAGUCGAGUUGUUUGGGAAUGCAGCUCUAAGUGGGUGGUAAAUUCCAUCUAAAGCUAAAUAUUGGCGAGAGACCGAUAGCGAACAAGUACAGUGAUGGAAAGAUGAAAAGAACUUUGAAAAGAGAGUGAAAAAGUACGUGAAAUUGUUGAAAGGGAAGGUUAUUACAUCAGACUUGGAUGUGACUUCAUACGCUGUGACUUGUUUGCGGUGUCACUGAGGACGUGUCUGGGCCAGCAUCGAUUGGUGUUGCCGGAGAAAAGGGCGGGGAAUGUGGCACAUUCUAAAUUCUGAGUGUGUGUUU
rnacentral:rRNA from 1 species